AGGAAAGUCUAGUCUCUUGUGAGUGAGCGCAUAAGGCGUUGCGAGUGUGGUAACGUUAGCGCUUAGGUAAGCGAGUGGGGACAUGGGUCUUGUUUCUCUCGUUACGAGAAUGAAAGCGUUUGCCCCUCCGAGGUUUGCUUGAGGAUAAGGUUUAAUAUGUUGAAUGUCGCUUGGUUUAUCCAGACGAAUUGCCACGGGGUGGGUUACUCCACCAACUGAACUUAGCUUACCGCU
rnacentral:RNase_P_RNA from 1 species